rnacentral:lncRNA from 13 species
AUUACUGACAGAGUAAUAUUUGAUUCCAAAAUCUAAUUUAAACAUCUUAAGGUUUAAUAGGUUCACUGCAUCAGUACAUCUAUAACAUGCAUUUAAAAAUCCAUGCUGGCUAAGUGCUUUGUGGUAAAGCUCUAUUUCUGAAGCUGUGUGUUUAUUUAGUGGUGGCUUUCUGUUUUAUUUAGCGAUAUUACCAUGUGAAAACAUUUGGUGAGCCUGUCCUCCGUGCCAAAGUAAAAUCUGAGGGAGUUUCAAGCAUAACUUGAAAGGCUAAUGGACACUACCCAAAGAUCAGGGAUGGUUCCCCCUAUUUAUGCUCACACAAACUUGAGAAGAGAGGAAUAACUACCUCCCGUUCUCACUAAUACAUUUCUCUGAUUUGAAUCUGUUCCUAAUUAAAAAUGCAGUAGGAUGAGUAAGUAUGUGAUAUGAUUUGGCUGUGUCCCCACCCAAAAUCUCAUCUUAAAUUGUAUCCCCAUAAUCCCCAAGUCAAGGGAGAGACCACGUGGAGGUAACUGACUCAUGCAGCUAUUUCCCUCAUGCUGGUCUCAUGACAGUGAGUUCUCAUGAGAUCUGAUGGCUUUAUAAGUGUUGCUAGUUCCUCCUGCAGUCAUUCUCCUGCCGCCUUAUGAAGAAGGUGCCUGCCUCCCCUUCACCUUCCACAAUGAUUGUAAGUUUCCUGAGGCCUUCCCCGCCAUACAGAAUUGAUGCUCUUGUCACAUCUGACACACCAGUUUGAUUACUGAGAGAAUGAGCAAAACCAUGAGCACUUAGCACAGGGCUCUCUGCGACUACCAGCACCAAGAUGCACUGCGGAACACUCCACUUGCUUGGCAUUAGAAAAUUAGCCUUUCAGAAGACAAUGCUUUGUCACAAUUCCACUCAUACAAAU